CUUAGCAGAGAUGCUUUGGUGCCUUCGGGAACUCUGAGACAGGUGCUGCAUGGCUGUCGUCAGCUCGUGUUGUGAAAUGUUGGGUUAAGUCCCGCAACGAGCGCAACCCUUAUCCUUUGUUGCCAGCGGCUCGGCCGGGAACUCAAAGGAGACUGCCGGUGAUAAACCGGAGGAAGGUGGGGAUGACGUCAAGUCAUCAUGGCCCUUACGGCCAGGGCUACACACGUGCUACAAUGGCGCAUACAAAGAGAAGCGACCUCGCGAGAGCAAGCGGACCUCAUAAAGUAGCGUCGUAGUCCGGAUUGGAGUCUGCAACUCGACUCCAUGAAGUCGGAAUCGCUAGUAAUCGUAGAUCAGAAUGCUACGGUGAAUACGUUCCCGGGCCUUGUACACACCGCCCGUCACACCAUGGGAGUGGGUUGCAAAAGAAGUAGGUAGCUUAACCUUCGGGAGGGCGCUUACCACUUUGUGAUUCAUGACUGGGGUGAAGUCGUAACAAGGUAAGCGUAGCGAG
rnacentral:rRNA from 1 species